rnacentral:rRNA from 1 species
GACGAACGCUGGCGGCGUGCUUAACACAUGCAAGUCGAACGGAAAGGCCCUGCUUGCGGUGUACUCGCGUGGCGAACGGGUGAGUAACACGUGGGUGAUCUGCCCUGCACUUCGGGAUAAGCCUGGGAAACUGGGUCUAAUACCGGAUAGGAGAUAUUUUUAGUGUGAUGGUUGGAUAGUUUUUUCGGUGUAGGAUGAGCUCGCGGCCUAUCAGCUUGUUGGUGGGGUAAUGGCCUACCGAGGCGGCGGCGGGUAGCAGGCCUGAGAGGCUGGCCCGCCACCUUGGGACCUACGGAAGGCCCCGACUCCGACGGGUGCCAGCAGGGCGGAAUAUUGCACGAGCGGCGCCAGGCUAAUGCAGCGGCGCCUCGUGGCGUAUGACGCUCUUCUUGUUGUAAACCCCUUUCGCAAGGGACGAAGCUUUUUGUGACGGUACCUAGAUAAGAAGCACCGGCUAACUACGUG